rnacentral:rRNA from 4 species
AACGCUGGCGGCGUGCCUAAUACAUGCAAGUCGAACGCGUCUUGGUCAAUGAAGUUUGAGUGCUUGCAUUUAACUGAUUUGACAUUAAGACGAGUGGCGAACUGGUGAGUAACACGUGGGUAACUUGCCCCGAAGCGGGGGAUAACAUUUGGAAACAGGUGCUAAUACCGCAUAACAACAAAAACCACAUGGUUUUUGUUUAAAAGAUGGUUUCGGCUAUCACUUUGGGAUGGACCCGCGGCGUAUUAGCUAGUUGGUGAGGUAAUGGCUCACCAAGGCAAUGAUACGUAGCCGACCUGAGAGGGUAAUCGGCCACAUUGGGACUGAGACACGGCCCAAACUCCUACGGGAGGCAGCAGUAGGGAAUCUUCCACAAUGGACGAAAGUCUGAUGGAGCAACGCCGCGUGAGUGAUGAAGGGUUUCGGCUCGUAAAGCUCUGUUGUUGGAGAAGAACGGUGUCAGAGUAACUGUGACAUCGUGACGGUAUCCAACCAGAAAGCCACGGCUAACUA